AGAGAUCAAUCAUCUAUCAAGGGUGGAGGGUGGAGGGGACUGGGAUGAGGAGAGGAUGAGACUUACUUCCAGUGCAUGAAAGAGUACUGAUUGGAUUUCAUAUGAACUGCAAACUCACUUGAUAAGGUAUAUAUGCAUGUUUGCUUGCACUAUAUUCACAAGCAUCAGGAGGCAGCAAUGGGUCAGUGUAUCACAAAAAAGAAGGUCUAAGUAGUUAUUGUCGAUUAUGGGUGGUAGAAGGCAAACAUAUAGGUGAACUGUGGAAUCUUGUUUUAACCUUUCAAAAAUACUACUUAAACACUUAGUUACAUUUGUUUAAUCCUGCCUUUUUCUAAGCCUUUAAAGCACCAAGAAAGAAAGAAAACUAUCUUUUGGCAGCUUAAGAUUACUGAGGGAAGUAGUAAAAUAAAUUAUUAAAUUAAAAAGCUUUUUUUUCUCUCUACCAUAGCACUGUAAAGUAUAAUCAAAGAAACUAUUCUAAAACUAAAACUAACAGUUUUAAAAUUACAUGAUUAACUUAAUGUUCUACAUUAUACCACAGCCUUAUGUUAGUUCAAUAUUUAUUGGCUGCUUACUAUGUGCUGUACCAGGGACAAAGUCUUGUAUGUCAUGUAGCUCAUAUCCCACUGGGUGAGAAAAGAUACUAAAUGAACAAUAUAUUGCAUGUCAGAUGGUGAUAACUGCUAUGAAGAAAAGUUAAUAGAGGAAGGGGGCUAAACAUGUUGGGAGUUGGGGGUAAUAAAGAAAGGCCUGAUGGCUAAUGGGACAUGUGAGCAGAGGCCUUGAACUUGGGAGGAAACAAACAAUGCAGAUAUGUGGAGGAAGAGUUCCAGGCAGAAGGAGCAGCAAGUAUAAAGUCCUGACGCUGAAAUGCUCUUGGUGUGUUCAAGGAAGGAAUGCCAGUGUGCUUGGAGAAGAGAGAGAAGAGACAGGCCAUCAAGGAUGCUACAUACCAAGUUGUGUGGCAAAAUUACUUUGUGCUGUUUAGACAUAAAGUGAAAAUAAGAUACAUCCAUGCUAUAAAAACUAUUCCAACUACUGAUUAAAAUGAACUUUUGCGGAAAGGAAACCUUACAAUCCUUGCUCAAAGUUAACCUGGCCAGGUGCGGUGGCUCAUGCCUGUAAUCCCAGCACUUUGAGAGGCCGAGGAUUCUUCUAAUUAAGCAAAAUAUGAUUUAAA
rnacentral:lncRNA from 1 species